rnacentral:rRNA from 1 species
CCUACGGGUGGCAGCAGUGAGGAAUAUUGGUCAAUGGGAGAGAGCCUGAACCAGCCAAGCCGCGUGAGGGAAGAAGGCCCUAUGGUUUGUAAACCUCUUUUGUCGGGGAACAAAACCCGGCACGUGUCCCGGACUGCGUGUAUCCGAAGAAAAAGCAUCGGCUAACUCCGUGCCAGCAGCCGCGGUAAUACGGAGGAUGCGAGCGUUCUCCGGAUUUCUUGGGGUUAAAGGGUGCGUAGGCGGUCCGUUAAGUCAGGGGUAAAACUGCGGGGCACAACCCGUCGAGCCGUUGAAAAUGGCAGACUUGAGUGGGCGAGAAGUACGCGGAAUGCGCGGUGUAGCGGUGAAAUGCAUAGAUAUCGCGCAGAACUCCGAUUGCGAAGGCAGCGUACCGGAGCCAGACUGACGCUGAGGCACGAAAGCGUGGGGAGCGAACAGGAUUAGAUACCCUUGUAGUC